rnacentral:rRNA from 1 species
UACGAAGGGGGCUAGCGUUGCUCGGAAUUACUGGGCGUAAAGGGCGCGUAGGCGGCCUGCUAAGUCGAACGUGAAAUCCCCGGGCUCAACCCGGGAACUGCGUCCGAUACUGGCAGGCUUGAAUCCGGGAGAGGGAUGCGGAAUUCCAGGUGUAGCGGUGAAAUGCGUAGAUAUCUGGAGGAACACCGGUGGCGAAGGCGGCAUCCUGGACCGGCAUUGACGCUGAGGCGCGAAAGCCAAGGGAGCAAACGGG